CAUUAAAAAGUUGUGGUAGAAUAUGAUAAGACUUUAUGCAUAGCUUACGGGGAACAGCUCAAAGAAGUUUAAGAAAUAGUAGCUAUGGCGUGAAACUAAAGAGAGAACAACAAAACUUCUUAGAAACCAGUGUCAGAGAUCAUAGAACGAGUGGUGACAUGAUGAGGGGCAACACAAAAAGCUCGGCAGGUUGAAGAUAUCAUCCCGUUAACGAGUCACCGAUCAUUGUCGGGGGUGGAGUCCGACUGAGGCUGAUCUCAAGCGGUAUUAAAUCUGAAAAAGCUACUAGUUUGUUUUUCAAAAAUUGGUUAGAUAUAUUAAAAAGAGACAAAACAAUGUGGUUGAAGUCAAUCUUGGAAACUGGGUGAGGGCGGAAAAAAAAAGAAUACAUGAUUUGAGUAGAUAAUAGAUUUCCAUUUUGGUACAUCUUAAAUGAUGCGAUUAAAUAAAAUCCAGUACGAUAAACUCUAACUAUCUAUCACAUGCCUAAUCCUAAAGGAUACAUGUUAGAACGCUAUAAAGAUCCCAUUAUCCCUUGUUUUGUUUGAAGGAUUUUGCUGUCCGAAAAGUUCUUAUCAUUUAUAAUUUGAAGAAGUAAACAAUGCAUAAUAUGAUGGUGCCUUUUCAUAUUUUAAAAAAAUAUUUAUAUUUCAUUUAUUUCUUAUUAUUAUAUGUUAAAAUUACAUGAAUAAUUUUUAUUUCACAUUAUAGUACGUAUCAUAUAUUUUUGUAAUUAUUUCAGUUAUAAAUAUUUUACUAACACUUUAUACCCAGUUUAGUUAGAUUUCAUUACAUAUUGUUAUAUUUUAUUUUAAGUAUUUAUUUUAAUAUUUUGAAAAUAUUAUUUAUUGGAUAAGUAUUGUAAAAGAUAAGAAGAUUUUCAGUGCUCUAGAGAAUUCUAUUGGAUAAGUAUGCAACAUAUUUUAGUAAACAUAUCCAGACAUUGGAAGAUAAGAAUCUAGAUAUUUGGUAUAAAAUCUAGAGAUUAUGAUAAUAUUCUCCAAAAUAUUUUAUUUUUAUUUUUGGAGCCUAUAAAUAGUUCAUUCCUCUUAUAUUUGUAACAUGCACAAAAAGUUGAACAGGUGAAACAAAAACAGAUUCAAAGAAACAAAUAGUGGUCUCUUAGAUUGAUGCUUUUAAAAAAUGGAGGUUUCGGAUGGUAUAUCCAUGGUAUGUAUGUAGCCCAUUGCUCUCAAUGCUCUAUUCUAUAUGUGGUUUCAACCUUUGCUGUCGAAACCUUGGCGCUGCCGGAAGCUCUUCUUGCAAGAUCGUGUGCUGGACUCUCAAAGCUUCAAGUAUUUUCAGACUCUAAUGUCUUCUUCUCUGCCCUGCAUUCAGGGAUGGAUUUGAAUGGGAUUGCAGGUUGUCUUCUUGACAUCACAAACCUUGCCACUCCCUUCACUCUGUUAUCAUUUAAGUUUUAUCAGUGCACAGCAGUAUGUUUGGCUGUUGCUUUUGCUAUGUAUGUGUUUUUCAGACUAUGUUUCACUUUUACUCUCUUUUGAGUUAUGAAUGAAAGAAACCCUUGACAAAAAAAAAAGAGAGAGAAAAAUUUUGAAAGAAAAGAUCUUGCAUCUACUUUACUUAUAACUUAUAGAUCACUUUUACAUUGCAAAUAAUAAAAGGACAAUUUUU